ACGCCGUUCUUCCUUUUAGCUAGGGCUUCUCCUCUCUGAACAUACAACGCUCUCAUCUCUUUAUUAGGGAUUUUUGGGUCUUCCGUUGAAGCAUUGGAUUAACGUUGGUGCGGGGGUGAUUGACGACGAUCUCAGGUCUUGGCAUGCCUUCGCUCGCUUAUCCGAAAAUGCACUUAUCAAAACUUUGCCAGCAAUGAGCUUGUGAAAUUGUUUCCUCCUGAUCUUCCACUAGACUUACAGCAAGGUUUGCAGGUUUGCAGUUCAUCACUUUUUUUCUCUUUGGUUCAACAUCUGCAUUUUGUUAUCGUCAAUUUAUAUCUUAAUGGUGUUUUGUACCGUCCUACAGCAAUGUUUUGAUCAUGUCAAUUUUUUUUGUUGUUCUCCUAUUACUGAGUUGUUAUGGAAAACAAUCCUAAUAUCCAGGUAUUGAUCUUAUUAAUCCACCGAAAAAUAGAAUAUCAAUUUUGUUCCUUUGUUCUUGUCAGGUUUGAAAUUCAUCACUUUUUUACUCUUUGGUUCAACCUCUGCAUUUUGUUCCUUUGUUCUUCUUAAUUUGAUUCCUCAAUGCCUCUGUUCUGUUAUGGAGCUAUGACCUGUUACUUUCCUAAGAACUUCAAUCACUCUUCCUAAUCUUUUUUUGUGUCUUAGAUUUUCUGUUCUGUGUAGCUGAUAAUGAACUUCAUUUUAUGAUCUCUUUCAGAUUGAUCAAUCCUGUAGUUGUAUCCCCCAUUAUUGCUGCUGUUGGACUUUCAUUUUUCAGGGAUCUUGAUAACUCUAAUCUAUCUGAAAAUUUGGUAUCUAAACUUGAAUGAUAAUGUUCUGUUAUAACUAAAUUUUGGGUUUUAUUUUGUCCUUCUCUGUGAGUCCAUGAAAGGAUACUUAGGACAUAUGAUGACUUUGUCUGGCCUGUUGAUACUUCAUUCAUUGGUUGCUUCAUUAUUGAUGUUGAAUUUCUUGACUUGAAGAUAUGCCCUCUGAAUGGCAACUGGAGAUGAUACUCGCAGUUUGUCCACCACAGUUUGCAAAUGGACAUAUCUUGGUCACGCUCACAUGCAGCAUAUCAAUGAUAAAGACUCCUGGGAUAUGGCUAUACUUUUUGGAUCAUAUGAUCAUUGAAGAAGUUCAGAGGCUGAGAGCUGAGGUAACUUUUGUUUCAAUGUUCUACAUGCUGCAUUUGUGACAAAGAAACAGUUAAUAAAAGCUGGUUUGUAGCAAAGGAGGAAGCUGCUAAAUCCAAAGCAGCAAGAGGUCAUAAAAGCUUUGGCUGUAAGGAGCCUCAAAAAUUGUUACAAUGGGAAGAAUCUCUUAACAGCUGAAAAGUAGUGGCUCAACAGUAGCACUACUAAUUUCUUCAAAGUUUUGAUGGGUCAUCUUUCUUCAAUGUUCAAUGGUUUGGGAAAAUCACUGACAAUUAAGAAAGGGAGGAAUUCAGAAAGAUGCAGCGGAAGAGAAGCGGCGGAAGCAAUGGCGAAGGAAGCAAAAAAGAAUGAGUUCUUGUUAUGUAGCUCAGGGCUGCAGCAGUGAUGUUUCUGCGCUAGUGAACAUAAAGCUGGUCCACAGGGAGGGAAAUGCUGUCAUUAGGCGGCACUUGGAGUCUCUUCCAUUGGAGACUUUUGAUUUUUCAAGACGACUUUCAUGCAGAGACUCAACAUCGUCUUUAAGGUUAUCGGGAUUCUCUCACAGCUCUUGGAUCCGCGAAAUGCAGCAAGCUUCAGAUAAAUCAAUUAUAAUCAGUGAAAUCUUGGAUUCUAGGACUAGAAAUCUGGUGUCUGUGUCCAGAAUCAGUGACUAUGUGUUAUCAAAUGAGUUUAAAUACAUAUUCAUAUUUCGUUUAAAUACAUUAUUAGAUAUUAACAUAGUUUAGGGAACUGGACGGUAGAUUUGACUGAUUAGUGUUUAUUGCAAUGCUUGUAUUUUGGUAAGUUUAGUAAGACAAGAUUUUGCAUAGGAGUUAUUACUUUUGAUUUUCAAUAAUAAAAAAUUAUAUAUUAUAUUAA